UUCAAUGGUUUUGUUUGGUGUGAUUUAGUACACAGAUAAAUCAUCUUCCAGAGGAGGCGAGGAGGAGGUAACGCGGGGUGAAGAGGCCCCUUUCUCCCCUUUCCCCUUUCGGGUUACAGUUACUCUUAGAGGUGCGAUUCUCACAAGACAUGGAGCACGGAGCCCCGUUCAAACACAGUCCGUUUUCAAUCCUCUGAACCUCAUGGUGGAAGAGGGAGAUUAUAAAAGUCAGUGACUCCUGAGUUUCCUGAGUGGGAGUCAGUAGACUGCACCACCGCGUGGUUAAGGUGUAUUUCGAGCACAUUUUAUUUCACCCCGGGGGAACUGACUGCUAACGGUCCCUUCGUCUUAGUUUUCUGGAGGCCUUUUUUCUCCCUAGCCUUUACGCGCCUUCAGCUCUCCCGCCUUCCAGGAGCAGUGGAGGAGACACGGGGGUUGGUGCACCUACGUGGUUUGACUUCCCGAAAUACUAAGGCUGAUGGAUCAGUAAAUGCUUCAAGGAGCACACACUUAUUUCUUGGCAAUCUUGUAGCAAAUAGAGAAUAGGCUUUCCUGCAUAGUGUCCUCUCAAGCUUUCCCCAUGUUUGAAAACUACCCCCCUCAGUUAAAUAUUCAAGUGAAACCAUUGAUUAGAAUAAAAAACGUCAGUAGCUAUUAAAACAAGAUCCACUUCUACGACAGCAUAAGCCAAUUGAUGGUGGAAAUGUUGGUAAUAAACGAAGGUUUUGUUCAGUGGGGAAAGGAAAGUUGUUUUAAAGGCUCUGAUCUCUCCUAGAAAAGCCCACCAAGCAGGGCAGUCACCAUAUCCUAAUUCAUGCACCUAACAAAUUCAUCAUAUCCUAACUCAUGCUGUUUCAAUCUGUAUUCAGCAAGCCCAUGUGUAUUCACAAUUGUUAAACUUACUAAAUGUCAAUAGCAUUUGGUUUUUAAGGAAGGGGUGGGGGGAGUUAAAAAUCUCAGUGCUCCUAAGUUGGUCUUAUUGCCAUUAUUUGUGUAUUCCAUGAAUGCUGGAAUGACUGUUAGGUUUAGACAGAACUACUUAAGCAGAAAGAAGUGAAAAGAAGAAAAAGAUUAAACCAGCAACUGCAUCAGCAGCAUCAUUACCUAGCUACUGUUUAAAAUACACAUUUUGGGGGUUCCCUCCCAAAGAAUCUUGUUUAGCAGAUUUGCUGUGGGUUCAGGAAUCUGCAUUUAAAUAAGCAUUUCAGGGGGAUUAUGUUAAAGGUGGCCUGAGAAAUAUGACAGAUGCUGCUUUUUUUAAACCUUAUUUUUUACUUAUUUAUUUUUAAAUUGAGGUCCAGGCUUUUAGGUAAGAUUUUAAGUCUUAGAACCAGUCACAUUUGGGUGUCAAGAAAGAUACUGAGAGUCAGAGUGGAGGAGCUAUUUCACCACAUGAAGGAGACCCUUUAUUAUUAUUUGAUCCUUCAUGUGAAUUAGCAAGAUGUCUUAAAUUGCAGAUUUUUAAGAUCAGAACAUGGGGGCAGGGAGGAUAUGACAGGAUAUACUUAUGUUUUAAAUUUUAAAUCAUCAUAUAGAAAUUUUCCACAUAGGACAUUUAUGGAUAUUUUACCUUUGUAAAAUACAUGUAUUAUAUACACUUACCCUGUUUACACUAAAACAAUUAUCUUUUUUUUUUCUAUCUGUUGGUAAUAAGGUUUCUUUCACUUCUUUUUAUUUUCCAAACCAUGCUGGUAAACAUGACAAGACACGUAGGAGAGAAAUAACAAAACAUAGAAGUGUUUUACAAGUUUAAAUUUUGUUUGUUUAAGAUCAGGGCAAGAUUGCAGUAAAAUGUGGCCAUAACAGAAUAUAGCACUUAUGAACAAAAUGACAGGACUUUUUGUUGUCUGUGAAAGGGGGAAAUAGUAUGAAUAAUAUGACCUGAGGAUAACUUGCAUUUAUAAGAAAAAUAAAUUUUGAUUUCUUCCAAAUUGUAAUAUUUUUCUGCUUUUGAACUAGUUUGUCUCAUGUUACACCAAUGACUUUGCUGAUGUAUUAGGGAAAAAGCUUAUGUUUUGCUUUCUUUUUUCAAGUGCCACCAUUUUCUUGUUCUGUGUUUCUCUCAGGCUGCCAGAUUAUCUGACUCAGCAAAUGUACGACUCUCACCAGAUUUUAAAGAAACAGCAGCCAUUCAAAGAACAAUGACUCCCCCCAAUUGAAAGUCUUUCCCAGCCUGUGGUAUCUUUUAACCUUGAAAUAAUUGUUAAAUGUCCAUAAAACAUGGAGCACUUUGGUUUUUACUCCAUGACAUUUACAAGCUGAAUAGUUCAAGUUGGAUAUAUUUUAUAUCCAUUUAAUCCUUAAAAAUAAGUUUCUUGAAACUUUAUUCCAAAAGCGUAUGCUCAAAUUCUCUUUUUCCCUGAAUACGAUUUUGAGGAGGUUAACAGUAAUAGAGCUUUUUAACUUAAAUUAUCUUAUUUAGUUCUCACAGUAUCUUCAUGUUUUAGGUGUUUUAUUCUCAUUUCAUAGAUUUGGAAACUGAGGCUUAUAUUUCAUAGUAUUCCAAAAAAUAAUUGGCUAGUAAUUGGUAUAUAAUUGAACUAAGGGUGCUUCUCACCCCAAGGGCCUCACUUACCACUUUGUAACAGUUUGGGGAGAUCAAUAUAUAUAGUUUCAGUUCCAUCUCUGCUAGUUAAUUGCAUGAAUGAAAUAGUUCUGAAAAUAAGGCAUUAUAAUAAUAACCAAAGUUGCUAUGGGCCCUAAAAGUCAUCGAACCUCGAAAUAAAACAAAGAGAUUAAUUUCUUUCAGAAAUUUAUUUCUUACCCAGAAUAAAACUAAUUAAAACUACCUUGUAAAUAUAUACGUAAAUUACUUAUUGACACUUUGCUUUAAAAGCAAUACAUGGUAAACCUACAUACUAGCAUAGGAAUAACUUGAAGCAUGAAGUAGAAAGAUGACUUUCUUGAGUCAUCAUAGUAUUCAUAUGACCUGUGAUUAGAUUUCAUCUCUUCUGCUUACUAGGUGUGAACCAUUAGAACUAAAUACUUAAACCCCCAGUGCUUCCAUUUUCUCAUCUGUAAACCUGAAACAGUACCCUACAGUAGUCAUGAAAUUAGAAACAGAUAAAAGUGUAUAUGCAAAGGUACAUUGUAAGCUUUCAAGUAGCAUAUAUUGGUUAGUUAGUGUUAAGGUGGCAAACUAAACUAUGCCCUUAUGAAAGCACAUUAGUUUAGUAUAUGCCUAUUUUGAUAGUAAAUGCCUAGUUAAUUAGAAUUAAUUAUUGAAGGAACCUAGAAUUCUUGAACUCCAUUUUAUAGAAUAUACAUAGUAAAAUAAAAAUGUAUUUAUUUAUUCAAAUACCUGUUACAUUGCAAAGUAGCACCUAAAUUUGCCUACUUUUUUACCUACACCCAUACAGAAGCCCAAGGUGUGGCUUUUAGAGUGUAACUCAACUCUUCUAGUAUUCAUAAUCAUUAAAUAGAUAUUAAACAAUCUUCAUGUUAAUAAGAUGAAAACUCAGCUAGUUUUAGAAAACUGAAGAAAAAAAAAAGUUACUGAACUGCCUUCAAUUUACCAGAAAAUUCAAUAAUAACCCAGAAUAAUAAUUUCUGGAAGGAGCAGCUUGGGUAACUGGAUUCUUAAUUCCAUCAGGAUGGUUGUCAUCAGUCUGAAUAUCUGACUCAAUAGUUUUGGUGCAGAACAACUUUCUAAAAAUUCCUUAGUAUAAAAAAUUGUGUGUGUGUGUGUGUGUGUGUGUGUGUAUUUAGGGGAUGGAAGGAAAGAGAGGCAGAGGUAUUAAAGUCAUCCUCAAAGGUUUCAAAGCCUUCAUAAUGUCUUCUAUGGGGAUGACCUUCAAUUAUUCUUAGGCACAUUUGAAGAAAUUACUUAAAAGUAGGAUAUCUAAGUGACAAAAUACAUUAAAUAUUUUACUUCCUUAAUGCUAAAUUCACUUUAGGUGUAUAAAAUCAGUACAGAGUAAAUAUAAAGUGUA